GAACGCUGGCGGCGUGCUUAACACAUGCAAGUCGAACGAAGCGACUGUGAUUGAGACUUCGGUUGAUUGACCAGUUGACUUAGUGGCGGACGGGUGAGUAACGCGUGAGCAACCUUUCCUCUACUGGGGAAUAACACCGGGGAAAACUGGUACUAAUACCGCAUGAGACCACAGAGCGGCAUCGCUUAGGGGUCAAAGAUUUAUUGGUAGAGGGUGGGCUCGCGUCUGAUUAGGUAGUUGGUGAGGUAACGGCCCACCAAGCCGACGAUCAGUAGCCGACCUGAGAGGAAGGUCCCCCACACUGGCACUGAGACACGGGCCAGACUCCUACGGGAGGCAGCAGUGAGGAAUAUUGGUCAAUGGGCGCGAGCCUGAACCAGCCAAGUAGCGUGCAGGAUGACGGCCCUACGGGUUGUAAACUGCUUUUAUGCGGGAAUAAAGAUAUCUACGUGUAGAUAGUUGCAUGUACCGCAUGAAUAAGGACCGGCUAAUUCCGUG
rnacentral:rRNA from 1 species